UUAAGAAACAUUCCCGUUUGAUAACGGCGGCCUUGUAGAUGUCCCACGUGACGCGUGGUAUAAAUGUAGUAUGGUCCAGCAAUAUAAAUACCCCAUACAGCGGACCACGCAACAUACAUCGAAGGAUAUCUUCCUACGUCUAGUACUUCUCCUGCAGUGAGAUCCAGUCUUGAUUUCAACAUGAAGACAUUGUUGGCUCUGUUGGUCCUGCUGGUUGCCGUGUCAGCUACCAUGGCUGGAUUCCUCGGAUUAGGCGGAUUUGGACCGUUCGGCUACGGAGGCUAUGGCGGCUACGGUGGCUUCGGAGGGUAUGGAUACCGUCGUUUCUACGGAGGCUAUGGCGGAUAUGGAGGCUUCGGUGGAUUUGGCGGAUUGGGAGGCUUCUACGGCUGAGCUUCCCCGGAUUGAAGCUGGAGAAAGAAGCGAUUUGGCAACUGUGAUAUGAGACAAAAAUGUAAUGCAUGUGCACUUACGUAGAAUAUGGACGUACGUGCACAUCAGCAGACUGAAGCAAUAAAAAGAAGCGUUGUGGA